GACUGUUUACCAAAAACAUAGCUACCAGAAAAAAUUAAUGGUAGUGAAACCUGCUCCAUGAUUUCCACACACAUAAAAACAUAAAAAUAAUAAAAAAAAUUAAAUAGCUGCGGUAACCGUGACCGUACUAAGGUAGCAUAAUAAAUCGUCUACUAAUUAUAGAAUAGAAUGAAGGUCACACGAAAAUUCAACUGUCUCAAAAAAACAUUUGUGAAAAUAAAAAGUACGUGAAUAUACACACAUUAACGGCAAGACGAUAAGACCCUACGAACUUCACCUAAAAUUUACAUUUAAUUAAAAAAAAUAUAAAUAAUACGUUUCGUUGGGGCAACGACCUUAAAAAAGUAACUAAGGUUAAAACAAUCAAAACAAAAAAAGACUAAUCAACCAAAAAAAAGAUAAAACCCAUUACACACAUACCAAACAAUUAAUGCAAAAAAAUAAAAGUUCCGUAGGGAUAACAGCGUAAUAUUAUUUCAAGAAAAUCAAUCUUAAAUAAAGAUUGCGACCUCA
rnacentral:rRNA from 1 species